GACGAACGCUGGCGGCGUGCCUAAUACAUGCAAGUAGAACGCAGUUGCGAACGGGUGAGUAACGCGUAGGUAACUUCCUCAUAGCGGGGGAUAACUAUGGGAAACGAUUGCUAAUACCGCAUACUGUGAGAUGGACCUGCGUUGUAUUAGAUAGUUGGUUGGGUAAAGGGUCACCAAGGCGACGUAACAUAGCCGACCUGAUAGGGUGGUUGGCCAAAAUGGGACCGGGACACGGGCCAAACGCCACAGGGCGGCAGCAGUAGGGAAACUUCGGAAAUGGACGGAAGUCUGACCGAGCAAAGCCGCGGGAGGGAAGAAGGGUUUGGGAUCGGAAAGCUCUGUUGUUAGAGAAGCGGUAACUAACCAGAAAGGGACGGCUAACUACGUGCCAGCAGCCGCGGUAAUAC
rnacentral:rRNA from 1 species